rnacentral:rRNA from 1 species
UACGUAGGUGGCAAGCGUUGUCCGGAAUUAUUGGGCGUAAAGCGCGCGCAGGUGGUUUCUUAAGUCUGAUGUGAAAGCCCACGGCUCAACCGUGGAGGGUCAUUGGAAACUGGGGGACUUGAGUGCAGGAGAGAAGAGUGGAAUUCCACGUGUAGCGGUGAAAUGCGUAGAGAUGUGGAGGAACACCAGUGGCGAAGGCGACUUUUUGGCCUGUAACUGACGCUGAGGCGCGAAAGCGUGGGGAGCAAACAGG